CCGUUCUCGUCCGAUCACCGAAGUUAAGCAGCAUCGAGUGCGGUCGGUACUCGGAUGGGUAACCGCCUGG